rnacentral:rRNA from 1 species
UACGAAGGGGGCUAGCGUUGCUCGGAAUGACUGGGCGUAAAGGGCGCGUAGGCGGACGGCUUUGUCGGGCGUGAAAUUCCAGGGCUUAACCUUGGGGCUGCGUUCGAGUCGGGUUGUCUAGAGUUUGGAAGAGGGUCGUGGAAUUCCCAGUGUAGAGGUGAAAUUCGUAGAUAUUGGGAAGAACACCGGUGGCGAAGGCGGCGACCUGGUCCUUGACUGACGCUGAGGCGCGAAAGCGUGGGGAGCAAACAGG